rnacentral:lncRNA from 1 species
GUGAGUUGUUUUGCCAGCUUCUUCUACUUUAUGAUACAAAAGUAAAAGCAUUCUUGCAGAUGUGCUUUUUAAAAUAAAAAUGUUUUUAGAACAGUAAAAGCUUUCUAAAUCUUGUGAUGGAACAUCUUACCUGCCCCCAUGAUAGCCACAGGCACACUAGACCGCCAGCGUUCAAUUAUCCAGCCUUAAAUUAACGCUUAGGAGAGUUCCACGUCUAGUAAGUAGCUCCUAUUGGAAUAAUCUUCCCACAAGUUAGAACCACUCUGGACAGAAUAUUUUUAAAAAUUUGAGAACACUGGAGCACGACCCACAGCAGGAGGACUCUGGAGGGGCGUGGGCCCUGGAAGAAGAGGACAACCGGUAGGUUUCCCAGUCUCACGGCUUUUAGGUCAGGGCAGGCCCCACAGGGCAGCUACAGCUCUGUUAGAAAACCUGCAGCCUCACCAGCUUGAAGAACCAGAGGCCAGAGUUUGGCACCAACAGCCUCUGGAAAGUGAGAUGGAAAAUUCUAGAAAAGAGAGCCCCAAGUUACAUGUGUGAAAUCCCUACAAACUGCUGGCUGAAGCACCAGCACCGAAACAGCCCAGCCAAGCCUCAAAGAACAGACUUCCUGGAGGAGGAGCUUCUGGACGGUGGUGCGCACCACCGUCAGCCCAGGUCAGCUGGGCUCAGCGGACCCUCUGCCCAGUGGAACAACCCUCUCUCUAGCUAGGGAAACUGUAUACAAACUAAAUAACGUAAAGUCUCUGAAAAUGUUCCUAGAGGCAUACAGCACAUGGAGAAACAUUUAUUCAGGAAACUCGACUGCAUGUUAACGAGACCAGUGAAGUCUGUGGCAUUUGAGCCCCAGCUGAUCCCACCCUACCCCCACUCCCCAGUGUCACGUGACAGAAGCCCUGCUCCAGGUUGGUGCUGCCCGGAAGGGAAGGGCUCCUAUGGUCGAGGGCUCUGCCCCAGGGGUGAUAGGCUGAGAAUUCCGGGGCUCCAACCUCUCAUGCGGUGGAGGUUCCACAUCCAGAGAGGCAGUCUGAGAAGACCAGGGGCUACCAGUCCCCCCACCCCGACACCUCCCCAGCACCUACCUGGGAGAAGGAGUGUUAACUCUAGGAGAAGCCAACACUGUCCAGCCCCAGGUGGGAGGCAGGCUCUGUGAACUGGCAGCUCUGUGAACCUCUGCAGAAGGGCACUAUUUCGUACCAAGAAUGGAGAAAUCUGCUGGAGGGGACUGUCAAAAACAACAGAGAUCUUGGUGGCGAGCAGUCAAGAGGGGGCUGGUGGCUCCAUGAUACGAACAGCAAAAAGCCAAAUGGCAGGCAGUUCUGAAGUUUAACUGAAAGAAUUGGGGAAAGAGCUGAGAAGAGCUGUCCUGGGCUCCCACUUAGGCCAGGAGACUGUGGGCAUGGACUGGUCUGCACCCACCCACUCAAGAGCAGUCAGAGUGGGACGUGAACAGACCUGAAAGCAUUCUCCAAGCCACACGAGCUCCUCAGCAAAGAGCAGAGGUCUUAACUAGCUCAAGGUGCUUACACAGAUCCUCCAACCAAACACUGCUGAAUGUGUGUUAUAAACACGUUCAAAGAGGGACUUCCCUGAUGGCACAGUGGUUAAGAAUCCGCCUGCUGAUGCAGGGGACACAGGUUCGAUCCCUGGUUCAGGAAGAUCCCACAUGCCGUGGAGCGGCUGGGCCCGUGAGCCAUGGCCGCUGAGCCUGCGCGUCCGGAGCCUGUGCUCCGCAAUGGGAGCGGCCACAACAGUGAGAGGCCCGUGUACCAC